rnacentral:snoRNA from 1 species
AGCAGCAGCCAUGGUGAGCUCGCCGCCGCCCGCCGACCCUGUUCGUUCCGUAGGAUUUGUCUUCCCGCUCGCUGACGCUGCUGUU